rnacentral:lncRNA from 1 species
GAACACGGGCAUCGCACCGUGAGGGGGAGCCUCCCUCAGCGGUCACGGCAUCGUACUAUUGAGGGAGGCCUCCCCCAAUAGACGCUGUAACACUGGAAUACUGGCAUCGCGCCGCUAGGGAGGCCUCCCUCAGCGGACACGGGCAUCGCGCCGUGAGGAAGGCCCUCCUCAACGGACACGGCAUCGUACUGUUGAGGGAGGCCUCCCCCAACAGACGCAAGCAUCAAUCACAGGCAUAAACUUAUCAGCGUAAAGCAUUCAAGCGUAAAUAAGCGUAAUCAAGCGUAAA